ACUACUAAAUAACUUGGGUUAACCAUUUUGGGCCAAGUGGAAAGUGGGUCUAAAAGUUAUUUGGGCCAGUUUGGGCCCGGCUGUUUCAAUUGGUAUCAGAGCCACCCUGGGUCAGACAAAUUGUGCGGAGCUAGUGGGCCUGCGAGGAAAGGGCUACCCGUGAGAGACGAGGUGGAGCCGCUCGAGGUACUAGCGAACCACAAUACCCGAGGGUUCGGUCCUGGUUAGCAAUUGUAAUGGAUUCAGUUGCGACGAGGACGUCGCAAAAUUUAGC
rnacentral:lncRNA from 1 species